ACCUUCAACAAUAUAUUAUCAUUAGCUAAAUUAUUUUCAUCAAUUAGUGAGUUUACACAGGCAACAAACAAGUAGCUUCUAAUCUUAUUAAGUUUUACACAGCCAACAACCACAAAGUUUCCUAUCAUCUUAUUCUAUCUUUUCAGUUUCACUGUUAUUUAAAUAGCACGGCUACACUAUUUCAGUGACAUGCUAAUGGUUGAUGGCAUUCCAAGUUCAUAUUCAUGCCGUAGCUGCUUCUGCAUUUCGUUUGGCUUCAAGUGUCUUCUCGUAUUCCUCAAUAGACUUGAAUAGCUCUGAAAAGUUUCCCUUCCCAAAACCUCCGCAUCCACCCUUCUGGUAUUCUUUCCCCGUCUCAUCCUUUAUCAUGCAGCCUACCCUUUGAAUUAUCUCUAUAAAGAUGGUUGGCCUAUCGCCAACAGGCUUAGUGAAAAUCUGGAGCAAGGUCCCCUGAUCAUCC
rnacentral:misc_RNA from 1 species